GGGAAAGGAGGCACAAGCUACGUGUUUUAAAGGUUUGGUAGAAUCCAGUGGUGAAGCCGUCCUCUCCUGGGCUCUGCUGUACUGGGGAGGCUGAUCCAAUCUCAUUGCUUGUCGGGAAACUGUUCCGAUUUUCCGCGUCUUCAUGGUAGGUUAUGUGUGUCCAGCAAUUUCUCCAUUUCUUCCAGGUUCCCCAGUUUGUUGGUGUAGAGUCGUUCACAACAGUCAGCGUCUGUGCCCUCUGUGGUAGUGGCCUGGCCCUCUGUGGUGUGAACUAAGCUACACUGGAGCUGCUCCUCAGGAUUCCUCUCCUCCUAUUUGGAGUUGGUACAGAGAUGCUCUGCUCUUAGCUUUUUAGUUUUUUAAAAAAAAUGUUCGCAGAGAGCUGGCGCAGGGAGGCCAGGUGCCGUGGCAGCUUCUGCCCACACAGUCACUUCACUGUCGGGUCACCUUGCUGUCACCAGGCGACAGCUGGGCCCCUGGCUCCUCUAGCUACUGCUGAAUUGUCCUGUGGUUGCUGUGACCCAGGCCCAGGUGCGUGAAAGUCCCCAGCUUCUUCUCUAAGUCAUUCCCAUCACUGAAGGUGGGUGGGAGGAGAUGAGGGAUGACACCUGAGUUCUAGAUUGUUCCUGCUCUCCCCGCUCCUGUCCCAACUUUAAAUCCAUCUCCCCCUCCCAGCUGCUUCCCUGACCUAUCAGUACCAGCACCAGACACGAGAAAAGAGCCUUGAACAGAGAGUUUAGCCAACUCCACAGAAUUAUGUAAGGACAAACUCCUAUAACAAAGCCCUCAUUUCCUAGCACACUCAGUUGUUCUGUUUCUCUGACUGAGCCUUGACUAACAAACAUGCAAAGAGGCAUAAAGUGAUGUGAACACUAAGUGGUGAUUUAAAGGUUUAUGUUAUUAACCCUAAAGCAACUACUAAUAAAACUUUAAGAGUCAAAAUAAAAUGGAC
rnacentral:lncRNA from 1 species